CGUGACGUCACGUUGCGACUCAAGUUUGUGGGGACGCGUCGCGCGGCAAGGUUGCUUUACGGCUGCUGGGUGAUGGUUUCUGUUCUGUGACAAGGAUCCCUAGGCAGGCUGUCGGAAAAGGUCUGGAUGAGUCGAACCUACCUGGGGAAAGCAUAGAAUACAUAUUUUUGAUUCAGUGAAUGAAAAUGAAAACCUGAUACAAGACUGGAUUUUGCCACUUGAAAAAUGGAAAUUAAACGUAAAAAAAAUAAAUCUUAAUUAUUGCACACAUACAUGUGGUGAGUUAUAAUUUGUCGUAAAAAUGGCUUUUUCUCUUCAGAAUUUAUAAUCCUGCCCUAACUUUGAUGUGAACUAAUUUAAGGAGAUAAUAUAUUAGUCUUGCAUUCCAGGUGAGAAAAGCAUCUUUGCAUAUAGACUAAAUUUUUAUAAAAAUAGUAUAGUACAUGACAUAGUGUGUGAAUUUAAUAAUCGUGUGUAGCAGAGGGUAGUAGAAUGCACCCACCCUUCUGCACUCACUUCACAUUGUGAAAUAAACUCAUGAUCCAUAAUUGUAAUACAUUCUGUGAUCCUUAUACUGUAUUUAUAUAAUGACAUUUCUGUGCCUGAGGAAAGCUUAAAAUUUUAUCUUGUGGAUCACAAAAAGAACCUAACACAGA
rnacentral:lncRNA from 1 species